rnacentral:rRNA from 1 species
GAUGAACGCUGGCGGCGUGCCUAAUACAUGCAAGUCGAGCGAAUGGAUUAAGAGCUUGCUCUUAUGAAGUUAGCGGCGGACGGGUGAGUAACUCGUGGGUAACCUGCCCAUAAGACUGGGAUAACUCCGGGAAACCGGGGCUAAUACCGGAUAACAUUUUGAACCGCAUGGUUCGAAAUUGGAAGGCGGCUUCGGCUGUCACCUAUGGAUGGACCCGCGUCGCAUUAGCUAGUUGGUGAGGUAACGGCUCACCAAGGCAACGAUGCGUAGCCGACCUGAGAGGGUGAUCGGCCACACUGGGACUGAGACACGGCCCAGACUCCUACGGGAGGCAGCAGUAGGGAAUCUUCCGCAAUGGACGAAAGUCUGACGGAGCAACGCCGCGUGAGUGAUGAAGGCUUUCGGGUCGUAAAACUCUGUUGUUAGGGAAGAACAAGUGCUAGUUGAAUAAGCUGGCACCUUGACGGUACCUAACCAGAAAGCCACGGCUAACUACGUGCCAGCAGCCGCAGUAA